rnacentral:tRNA from 2 species
CAAGAAGUAGUUUAAUUAAAAUAUUAAUUUUGGAGAUUAAUGAUAAAGAUAUAUCUUUUUUCUUGA